GGGCCUAUAGUUUCAAUGGUAAAACAUUCCUCUCCAAAAGGAAGGUUCGAGGUUCGAGUCCUCGUGGGCCCG
rnacentral:tRNA from 1 species